AGAAUCAACGCUGGCGGCGUGCCUAACACAUGCAAGUCGCACGAGAAAGGGGCUUCGGCCCUGAGUAAAGUGGCGCACGGGUGAGUAACACGUGAAUGAUCUACCUCCGAGUGGGGAAUAACUGAGAGAAAUCUUAGCUAAUACCGCAUAACACUUACGAGUCAAAGCAGCAAUGCGCUUGGAGAGGAGUUCGCGGCCGAUUAGUUAGUUGGCGGGUAAUGGCCCACCAAGACGAUGAUCGGUA
rnacentral:rRNA from 1 species